rnacentral:rRNA from 1 species
UACGUAGGGUGCGAGCGUUAAUCGGAAUUACUGGGCGUAAAGCGUGCGCAGGCGGUUUUUUAAGUCAGAUGUGAAACCCCCGGGCUCAACCUGGGAACUGCAUUUGAAACUGGAAGACUAGAGUAUAGCAGAGGGGGGUAGAAUUCCACGUGUAGCAGUGAAAUGCGUAGAUAUGUGGAGGAAUACCAAUGGCGAAGGCAGCCCCCUGGGUUAAUACUGACGCUCAUGCACGAAAGCGUGGGGAGCAAACAGG